AGAGUUUGAUCCUGGCUCAGAACGAACGCUGGCGGCAGGCUUAACACAUGCAAGUCGAACGAGAUAGCAAUAUCUAGUGGCGCACGGGUGAGUAACGCGUGGGAAUCUACCCUGUAGUACGGAAUAACUGUUGGAAACGACAGCUAAUACCGUAUACGCUCUUCGGAGGAAAGUUUUAUCGCUAUAGGAUGAGCCCGCGUUGGAUUAGCUAGUUGGUGAGGUAAUGGCUCACCAAGGCUACGAUCUAUAGCUGGUCUGAGAGGAUGAUCAGCCACACUGGGACUGAGACACGGCCCAGACUCCUACGGGAGGCAGCAGUGGGGAAUAUUGGACAAUGGGCGAAAGCCUGAUCCAGCCAUGCCGCGUGAGUGAAGAAGGCCUUCGGGUUGUAAAGCUCUUUUACCAAGGAAGAUAAUGACGGUACUUGGAGAAAAAGCACCGGCUAACUUCGUGCCAGCCGCCGCGGUAAUAC
rnacentral:rRNA from 1 species